ACAAAAUUCCCCGGUCAAUUACCAAUACCUUAGUGCUUUUUCAUAAAACUCGCCAGGGCAACCAAGCCAAUCCUCCACCGCCUCCUACCAGUGAAUUCAUUGUUAGAGAUACUGGAAAUUGCAGUCCGCGGUAAAUGCCAGGUGACCUAUACUUCCCCUUUUUUACUUUUUGCUUAAACAUGUAUGUUGGUUGGUUUAAUGUAAUAUUGUUGUCUUGUUUUAGAUUGCUUACACUUCCGAUCUUUUGACCACUUCUGGGAUGCAGUUGGCUUUGUUGGUCCAACCUCAUCCAUCCAUCUAUUUGGGCACUGUAUUCCUUCAGGCUACACACAAUCUUGAUCUGUUAUAAGGGAUUUGUGAUUGUAUUAUAAAUAUAUUAGAGUGACUAGCAUGUUCUCUCUCAAUUUUGUGUUACACAUGAGAUCUUUGCGCUUCUGGGUUUUAACGGAGAUUUACUGGGGGAGACAGACUGAUUUUUGUGCUUCUGCAUUUUGUCGGAGAUUUGCGAUGUGCACUUGUUUGUUCCAGUGAUUUUGCUUGCCGGAUAUUUUAGAAAUGUUGCUCAGAUCUGAAUGAAGCCUCGCUGCAACUCUUCUUUAUGAACAAUCAGAAGGUUACAAAGGCAUGUUGUUAUUUGACAUCAGAUGAGUUUUCUGGCCAUACAAAAAUUCAUUUUUUUCCUUUAUAUUCCAAGAGGAAUCAUAAAAAGACAAUGGAGAUUCAGCAAAAGGUUCUACAAUUUAAAGCUGCGCAGGAUAAGAGAAGGGUUAAGAUAUUGAGAACUUUUUAGUUUUCCUUUUUUGUUGUUGUUUUUAGUUAGACAUUUCGGUGAACACCUUUCAUGCAUUUAGACAUUUUAGUUAAUAAGCUUGUACUCUUUAAAAAUAAAAUAUAUGAGUUGUGUUCGAACGAAAAUUGUGAUCCUCAAUCCAAAUUUGCUGCUAUUCAUUGAACUGAGGCUCAAGCAAUCCU